AAAUGUAUACAAGUCUAUAUAAUUAUAUAAAACUUUAUACAAAUUAUAUACAAUUAUAUAUAAUUGCAAUAUAUAGAAUUGUAUACAAUUGGAUCGGGCCAUUUUUUCUAUUCAAUUAUAUGUAGUCUAUAUAUAAUUGUAUAAAAUCUUUUUUCAUCGGGCAGACACAAAAAGCCAUGAAAUUAAAAUAUUUGAUAAGGACGGUAAUUUUAAAUUGAAAUUUGGAAUGUACGGCGUUAAAAACAGUUAUUUUAUAUAUCCAAAAUAUGUGACGGUUUUCUUGAAUAAUUCUCACAACAAAGGAAAUAUUGUUGUCUAUGAUAAUAUCGAUUGGAAUCCUAGAUUGCAAAUUUUUGCAAAUGAUGGAGUUUUUUUGAAGUCUGCAAUUUUUAAAAUUAUGGAUUUCUUGAAAGCCCUUGCUAUGACUAAUAAUGAUCGUAUUGUAGCUCUAGACCAAAAAGCAAACAAAUAUUCGUUAUUCCUGAUAUUUUGGUUAUUUAAGAGAAAAUUGAUUACCAACAGAGAACCAAUCACUAUGGCUAUUGACGGUAAGGAAAUAUUUAUUUCUGAUAAGAAAAAAGUCCGCGUAACAUUUAUUAAUAAUGAAGGCCAGUUUUUGGGUCACAUUGGUUAUAAAAAUCAAAGCUGACCCUCACCAGGAAUUGGUUUUGUCAACGAUACAAUUCUAAUGUUUUACUGAUUCCAACGAAUUUCCAGCUCUAUGAAUUUUCAAAAAAUGGUAGUUGCAGCUUCUAGUAUGAAUUGAGAGAUAUACAAAUACUACAAUCUGGUAGAUUUGAGAUAUCGUCAAAUGGUUCGUUAGUAUUGUUAAAUAAAAUGAAUAAUGAAUUGCUCAUUCUAAAGAUGUAGUCACACAUCAUAUAAGCGUAUAUUAUAUAAUAUACUAUUUAUAUGAUUACAACAAAAAUUCUUAUGUAUUUAAAUCACCAGCCAUUAACGAAAAUCAAUUAAACUUAUAAAUCAAUAAUUUAUAUCCAUGUAUCCUUU